CCUACGGGUGGCAGCAGUGGGGAAUAUUGGACAAUGGGCGAAAGCCUGAUCCAGCCAUGCCGCGUGUGUGAAGAAGGCCUUCGGGUUGUAAAGCACUUUCAGUGGGGAAGAAAGCCUUGGGGCUAAUACCCUCGAGGAAGGACAUCACCCACAGAAGAAGCACCGGCUAACUCCGUGCCAGCAGCCGCGGUAAUACGGAGGGUGCGAGCGUUAAUCGGAACUACUGGGCGUAAAGCGCGCGUAGGCGGUCUGAUAAGCCGGUUGUGAAAGCCCCGGGCUCAACCUGGGAACGGCAUCCGGAACUGUCAGGCUAGAGUGCAGGAGAGGAAGGUAGAAUUCCCGGUGUAGCGGUGAAAUGCGUAGAGAUCGGGAGGAAUACCAGUGGCGAAGGCGGCCUUCUGGACUGACACUGACGCUGAGGUGCGAAAGCGUGGGUAGCAAACAGGAUUAGAUACCCGAGUAGUC
rnacentral:rRNA from 1 species